GUGUCAGCCGCCGCGGUAAUACGAAGGGGGCUAGCGUUGUUCGGAAUUACUGGGCGUAAAGCGCACGUAGGCUGAUAGUUAAGUGAGGGGUGAAAUCCCGAGGCUCAACCUCGGAACUGCCUUUCAUACUGGCUGUCUCGAGUCCGGAAGAGGUUAGUGGAAUUCCUAGUGUAGAGGUGAAAUUCGUAGAUAUUAGGAAGAACACCAGUGGCGAAGGCGGCUAACUGGUCCGGUACUGACGCUGAGGUGCGAAAGCGUGGGGAGCAAACAGGAUUAGAAACCCCAGUAGUCC
rnacentral:rRNA from 1 species